rnacentral:rRNA from 1 species
GCGUGAGUGAUGACGGCCCUAGGGUUGUAAAGCUCUUUCACCGGUGAAGAUAAUGACGGUAACCGGAGAAGAAGCCCCGGCUAACUCCGUGCCAGCAGCCGCGGUAAUACGGAGGGGGCUAGCGUUGUUCAGAAUUACUGGGCGUAAAGCGCGCGUAGGCGGUUUGAUAAGUUAGGCGUGAAAGCCCGAAGCUCAACUUCGGAAUUGCGCUUAAAACUGUCAGGCUAGAGUCCGGAAGAGGUGAGUGGAAUUCCCAGUGUAGAGGUGAAAUUCGU